rnacentral:rRNA from 1 species
UUUACCUAGGGGGCAGCAGUGGGGAAUAUUGCACAAUGGGGGAAACCCUGAUGCAGCGACGCCGCGUGAGCGAAGAAGUAUUUCGGUAUGUAAAGCUCUAUCAGCAGGGAAGAAAAAUGACGGUACCUGAGUAAGAAGCACCGGCUAAAUACGUGCCAGCAGCCGCGGUAAUACGUAUGGUGCAAGCGUUAUCCGGAUUUACUGGGUGUAAAGGGAGCGCAGGCGGUGCGGCAAGUCUGAUGUGAAAGCCCGGGGCUCAACCCCGGGACUGCCUCUGAUACUGUCGGGCUAGAGUUUAGUUGCGG